CAGCCGCCGCGGGAAUACGUAGGGUGCAAGCGUUAAUCGGAAUUACUGGGCGUAAAGCGUGCGCAGGCGGUUAUAUAAGACAGAUGUGAAAUCCCCGGGCUCAACCUGGGAACUGCAUUUGUGACUGUAUAGCUAGAGUACGGCAGAGGGGGAUGGAAUUCCGCGUGUAGCAGUGAAAUGCGUAGAUAUGCGGAGGAACACCUAUGGCGAAGGCAAUCCCCUGGGCCUGUACUGACGCUCAUGCACGAAAGCGUGGGGAGCAAACAGGAUUAGAUACCCCAGUAGUCCCUGUCUCUUAUAC
rnacentral:rRNA from 1 species